rnacentral:rRNA from 1 species
AUUGAACGCUGGCGGCAUGCUUUACACAUGCAAGUCGAACGGUAACAGGCCGCAAGGUGCUGACGAGUGGCGAACGGGUGAGUAAUGCAUCGGAACGUGCCCAGUCAUGGGGGAUAACGCAGCGAAAGCUGCGCUAAUACCGCAUACGAUCUAUGGAUGAAAGCGGGGGAUCGCAAGACCUCGCGCGAUUGGAGCGGCCGAUAUCAGAUUAGGUAGUUGGUGAGGUAAAGGCUCACCAAGCCGACGAGCUGUAGCUGGUCUGAGAGGACGACCAGCCACGCUGGGACUGAGACACGGCCCAGACGCCUACGGGAGGCAGCAGGGGGGAAGUUUGGACAAUGGGCGCAAGCCUGAUCCAGCAAUGCCGCGUGCAGGAUGAAGGCCUUCGGGUUGUAAGCUGCUUUUGUACGGAGCGAAAGGGCUUCCACUAAUACUGGGGGCUCAUGACGGUACCGUAAGAAUAAGCACCGGCUAACUACGUGCCAGCAGCCGCCGCAGUAA